GAGUUUGACUUGGCUCAGGAUGAACGCUGGCGGCGUGCCUAACACAUGCAAGUCGAACGGAGUUCUUAAGGAAUGCGGCUUCGGCCAAAAUGACUUUUGAACUUAGUGGCGGACGGGUGAGUAACGCGUGAGCAACCUGCCUUUCAGAGGGGGAUAACAUUUGGAAACAGAUGCUAAUACCGCAUAAGAUUACAGUACCGCAUGAUACAGUGAUCAAAGGAGCAAUCCGCUGAAAGAUGGGCUCGCGUCCGAUUAGAUAGUUGGUGAGGUAACGGCCACCAAGUCGACGAUCGGUAGCCGGACUGAGAGGUUG
rnacentral:rRNA from 1 species